rnacentral:tRNA from 1 species
GAGGGUACAGCUCAAGUGGUAGAGCGCUUGCUUAGCAUGCACGAGGCCCUGAGUUCAAUCCCCAGUGCCUCCU